rnacentral:rRNA from 1 species
UACGAAGGGGGCUAGCGUUGCUCGGAAUUACUGGGCGUAAAGGGCGCGUAGGCGGCUCGACAAGUCCCGCGUGAAAGCCCCCGGCUCAACUGGGGAACUGCGCGGGAAACUGUCGGACUUGAGUUCGGGAGAGGGAAGCGGAAUUCCGGGUGUAGCGGUGAAAUGCGCAGAUAUCAGGAGGAACACCAAUGGCGAAGGCAGCUCGCUGGGACGUGACUGACGCUGAGACGCGAAAGCGUGGGGAGCAAACAGG